rnacentral:rRNA from 1 species
CCUACGGGAGGCAGCAGUAGGGAAUCUUCCACAAUGGGCGAAAGCCUGAUGGAGCAACGCCGCGUGGGUGAAGAAGGUCUUCGGAUCGUAAAACCCUGUUGUUAGAGAAGAAUGUGCGUGAGAGUAACUGUUCACGUUUCGACGUUAUCUUACCAGGAAGCCACGGCUAACUACGUGCCAGCAGCCGCGGUAAUACGUAGGGGGCAAGCGUUAUCCGGAUUUAUUGGGCGUAAAGGGCACGCAGGCGGUCUUUUAAGUCUGAUGGUAAAGCCUCGGGCUUAACCUGAGUAGUGCAUUGGAAACGGGGAGACUUGAGUGCAGAAGAGGAGAGUAGAACUCCAUGUGUAGCGGUGAAAUGCGGAGAUAUAUGGAAGAACACCAGUGGCGAAGGCGGCUCUCUGGUCUGUAACUGACGCUGAGGUUCGAAAGCGUGGGUAGCAAACAGGAUUAGAUACCCGUGUAGUC